UCCGGCCCAGGCAGUCCUGCAUACCACCUGCUGCUCCUGCCAUGUCUGGCCUGUGCGACCCAGGCGUGGGCUUGGGAGCUAAGCAUCUGAGUUCAACCCUUAACUCCACCGCUGUCUUUUUGUGAGAUCUUAGCUACUUUAUCUCUCUGUGCCUCAGUUUCCCCAUCUGUGAGAUGGAGGAGAGGAUGGUCACUUCUGCCAGGAUUGUGAAGAGUCAAGGAGAUGACGUGUGAGAUCUGGGCCAUCUCAGGCACAGCUGGACCCUAAGGUGAUACCGGCCAUCGCAUGAUCUUUGGACAUGUUUCUGGACCUCGGAAACCUUGCCCAUGGUCCCAAGGGGCUGAGCAGGAGGAAACUUGGGGAGCAGCACUCAUUGUCGAGGGACAAAGAGCUCAUUUUGCUUCUUGAAGGGUUGUGUGAGGCUACACGAGGAGAUGCUUGUGGGCGUUUCCCAGCAGGCCUGCUCUGCUCUGCCAGCGUCGCCGACACGUCUUACAACCCGUUUCACUGAGCAGGCUUCAGCGGGAAUAAACAGGAAGACCCGGGACGCCUGUCCCUCUGCCUCUCCACGGCUGCCACCUUGAUAAUUCCACCCGUCAUCGCUCCCGGCCUUGAUUUCCUAUGGAUUUAUUCUUUUCUUUAUUUUUAAAUUUUUAUUUUUAAAUCUU